UAGAUUAGGGCUAAUGAAUUCAUUUCAAUUGAUUGAUUUCCUUAUAUGAACUGUAACUCAGAACCGUUAAUUGUUGCAUGUUGCGUUUAUUAUAAAAUAAUUCCAAUCCCGAAGGCAAAUGCAGUUUAGCGAUAUAAAAGGACUGACUUUAGGACCAUGUAGAUGCCUGGGAGCGGGAGGGAAGGCUGUUUGUAUGCCGGCGGGCGGACUGGCUUUAUGGAUAUCUUAUCGAAACAGCAUUACUUUUUCUCCAAGCAGUGCAGAGGUAAAAUGGCUUUGAGUAGGUAGGGUAACUGCUAGUUUAGUCAAAUCAAACAGUUUUAAUCCCGGUGCUGAGCUAGUUAAUUAUUUAAUGUCAUGAGUUUGUGGAAUAUUAAGUCACCUAUUAGCCUAUUUUAGAACCCAGAGAGUGAAAUACUUACCUCCCCAACAUAUAGCGCAGCAUUGUCGAACAGUCAGAAUGUUUAAUUAAUUUCAGUUCACUUUACAUGUCAGCUGAUUUGUCCCCAUUUCGGAGGUAAUCAGAGACAAAAUAUCCACAGGGAAGUGUUAUCAACCCGACCUUCAGUACGCUGGUCUGUUUAUUGGUUUGCAAUUCGCACUGUGACAAACACUUGCACAAUAUGGCUGAGCCUACCGAACUACAGACUGAAAGUUGGCCCAUGCAAUCAGCAGGUAGAUUUCAAAUACUUCUAGCAGAUUACAUUCCUUUACAUUAUGCUACUGUUAACAUAUUGUGCAUCACCUGCAAUGACUUGGGAGACUGAAAAUACAAGAGACAGAAUUUACUAAAAAGUCGGGGAAACACUUUACUGUGGAUACCCUAUUUCCACCUCCUACCGUCAAAAGGAUCAAAGGCACAGACAACCGGUAAAGUACUUGUAAAUAUAAUUUUAUUCGACAUUCUGGCUUGUAGAGACUUUCUUCUAUUUUAGGCAUACUUAUUUCAGAAUGAAUAUUAUAUGGUAACUGUCUGAUUGUCACGACUUCCACCGAAGUCGGUCCCUCUCCUUGUUCAGGCGGUGUUCGGCUGUCGACGUCACCGACCUUCUGCCAUCACUGAUCCAUUUUCCAUUGGUUUUGUCUUGUCUUCCUUCACACCUGGUUCCAAUCCCAUCAAUUACAUGUGUAUUUAACCCUCUGUUCCCCCCCCCCCAUGUCCUUGUCGGAGAUGUAUUAUUGUAUGUUAUGUGCAAGUCAUGUGACGAUGUGUGACGGGUUUUGUACCCACUUAUUAUUUUGGUUUUUGGAGUUUUAUUAGCACUUAUUAAACGACGCCGUUUAUACCAAGUUUGUUUUCCUGCGCCUCUGACUUCACUGCCACGGACAUGCACCCAUUACACUGAUGCUUGGGCAAGUCUCCUAUUGAUGUGAAUGAAACUACAGAAACAAGGUUACAAAGAUCGUUCAAGACUAUCCAGCCCCAACUAACACGGCUUGACAUGCCGAGUUUUGACCAUGACCCUUUCUCUGCCAUCAGACACUUCCACCCAACUGUGUGAUUAGUCUGGUGGGCCAAUGCGUCAAACUGGUCAUAGGGAGCUGGGGUGCAGAUGGUGGAGUUGUUUGGGGUAGAGAGGACAGUGGACUCAGUGGAGGACAUCCCAGCCACUUGGCAGUGUUGGCACUGCUACUUCCCACAUGACGGGACCUGUGUGUUACAGGAGGAGUUGAAGGUGGAGCAUGCCUCGAACCUGCGACGCACCCGGUGAUCUACGGUAUGAUGGCUGACUUUGCAGUUCCUGUUACUUCAAAAACCGAGCGACGCCUUCAUGUUCACCCACGAAGACAUAUCUCCCUUCGCCUCCCGCCGACCCCCGAGGGGCACCUUCAACACCUCCUCACCUAGACGACACACACUGUGGCUGAAUCUCAAUAGUCUAGAUAAUAGCUUCCUCUGUCACUUUAGUGAGGACAAUACUGUUCUGGUUACACUAGUAUGUACAGAGGCCCUUGAUCAUCAAAAAUGAACGCUUUUAUGGAGGUUUUGUCUUUUAUUUUGUGACACUGUUUUUACGGUCUUUUUGUUUGUAUUGGCUGCACUAAACAAUUUUCAAUCAACUCUGUUGAUAUGGCGAUUGCAACAGUUGUCAGUUGGUGUGACUAAAAUACAAUUUCAUGUCUUAUAUAUUUUCCAUGCUUCUUCUUUUAAGAACUUUAUCCUUGAGUGUUAUACUUUCAGUAACAGCUACUUUGCUUUGGCUCUUAUCACCCCAUAGAUUUGUAUGAAUAAAACGAUAAAUUAAAGUAAUGCAAUGUCUAUGA